UAGGGAAUCUUCGGCAAUGGACGAAAGUCUGACCGAGCAACGCCGCGUGAGUGAAGAAGGUUUUCGGAUCGUAAAACUCUGUUGUUAGAGAAGAACAAGGACGUUAGUAACUGAACGUCCCCUGACGGUAUCUAACCAGAAAGCCACGGCUAACUACGUGCCAGCAGCCGCGGUAAUACGUAGGUGGCAAGCGUUGUCCGGAUUUAUUGGGCGUAAAGCGAGCGCAGGCGGUUUCUUAAGUCUGAUGUGAAAGCCCCCGGCUCAACCGGGGAGGGUCAUUGGAAACUGGGAGACCUGAGUUCAGAAGAGGAGAGUGGAAUUUCAUGUGUAGCGGUGAAAUGCGUAGAUAUAUGGGGGAACACCCGUGGCGGAGGCGGCUCUCUGGUCUGUAACUGACGCUGAGGCUCGAAAGCGUGGGGAGCAAACAGG
rnacentral:rRNA from 1 species